rnacentral:rRNA from 1 species
UGGGCGUAAGCGCGCGCAGGUGGUUUCUUAAGUCUGAUGUGAAAGCCCACGGCUCAACCGUGGAGGGUCAUUGGAAACUGGGAGACUUGAGUGCCGAAGAGGAAAGUGGAAUUCCAUGUGUAGCGGUGAAAUGCGUAGAGAUAUGGAGGAACACCAGUGGCGAAGGCGACUUUCUGGUCUGUAACUGACACUGAGGCGCGAAAGCGUGGGGAGCAAACAGGAUUAGAUACCCUGGUAGUCCACGCCGUAAACGAUGAGUGCUAAGUGUUACAGGGCUUCCGCCCUUUAGUGCUGAAGUUAACGC